GACGAACGCUGGCGGCGUGCUUAACACAUGCAAGUCGAACGGUAAGGCCCUUCGGGGUACACGAGUGGCGAACGGGUGAGUAACACGUGGGUGAUCUGCCCUGCACUUCGGGAUAAGCCUGGGAAACUGGGUCUAAUACCGGAUAGGACCACUGCCUGCAUGGGUGGUGGUGGAAAGCUUUUGCGGUGUGGGAUGGGCCCGCGGCCUAUCAGCCUGGUGGUGGGGUGAUGGCCUACCAAGGCGACGACGGGUAGCCGGCCUGAGAGGGUGACCGGCCACACUGGGACUGAGAUACGGCCCAGACUCCUACGGGAGGCAGCAGUGGGGAAUAUUGCACAAUGGGCGCAAGCCUGAUGCAGCGACGCCGCGUGAGGGGUGACGGCCUUCGGGUUGUAAACCUCUUUCAGCAUCGACGAAGCGAAAGUGACGGUAGGUGCAGAAGAAGGACCGGCCAACUACGUGCCAGCAGCCGCCGUAA
rnacentral:rRNA from 1 species